rnacentral:lncRNA from 1 species
CACACACACCUCGCAAUGAAUUACGAUGUUAACCAAAAAUUCUGAAAUUUUAAAAAAUUACAGCAUCUAUAACAUAAACUAUUUAUAUAUAUUUUUUACUUCUAAUGAAUAUUCCUAAUGAAAUAUUUAUCACCUACCUGGUAUCUAUAAUUUUUUAACUAAUUUGUAAAGCCUUGCGUUAUUCAGGCGAAGAAUUAUAUGUUGAGGCGGCAAGUUUUAAAUUUGUUAAACUAUCAAAUUAAUUUCAAAUUUAAAUCUUAAUCCUAAGAUAACUAUACUUAACUUACGUUUAAAUUGAAAGAAAAUUCUCCUAUCAAACAAGCAGGCUAUCUAGUUUUACUAAAAUUGUUGUGCUUAUUGUUAUUUAAUCAUGGAGACUAAUCUGCUGGGGAAUGACUACGGCGAUCAAUAUCUGUUGCACAUUUUAUUGUUGGGAAAGUGUUCAAGUCUUUAGGGUCGUUGGAACAGCAUUAUGUGGCUAUUAUAGCCACUUUACAUCAAGUAUUACGCUUACCUAAUUACAUACAUAACAAUUGUGGAAACACCAGGUACAUUUAUAACUGCAAUUAAAGCUUUCGUCCGUAAGGCCGGAUCUUUAUCAGUGCUAAUAGUUUGUUUAGCAUAUGUGACAUAUUAUUAGCACUGAUGAAGAUCCGGGCUUACGGAUCGAAAGCUUUGCAGUAAUAAAUUUACGUGGUGUUUCCACAAACAAUAAUAUUAUAUGUUUUAUUGCCAAGCAAACCUACAAAGAACUUCAUUGUGAUAAUACUUUUAUCCUAACCGGUUGGUAGCGAGAUCAGAGCAUCAGGAGAAAACUCGCGAUUUCGACAGAGCGUUGACCAACACUUUUCACACGAUUCACAUGAGUGAGUAACGAGAGAAUCGAACCCACGAUCUUAUAGUUGAAAGGCACUUGUUCUGACGACAUUCGACAGAAUAAUCAGAAACCGUAGGAGAAGUGGAUUUCCAUGAGUUUGGUUCAUCUUUUCCUCCUUCCAACAGGGCGUUUCUCAAGUUUAUGGGCGAAACUUUCACGACAUAUCGGACAGCGAGUUCUGGAUGAAAAGAGAGAAGAAAAUACCACAUUUAGGAACCCCAAUCUAAAUCUCUUCAUUUUGGGGAAUUUCUGAUGGUCUGCAAUUUAUGAAAGAUAUGUUACGUUUUAUCAUCUUAUGACGUAAGCAACAACGUCC